AAGACUCCGUCUCAAAUAAACAAAUAAAUAAACUUUUCAAUGAUAACAAACAUUUGUUAAACUCCAACAUAUUAUCAGGGAGUGCACUAGGACUCAGAGCAUAGAGAUGAAAUCAUUUCUGCCUUCAAGAAACUCAUGAUUAAGAGGAUAGUAAUUAAUGUUGAUUUUAUUAGGUAUGAUAAUGUGAUUAUGGUUACCUAAUAUGCCCCUUUAAAAGACACUGAAGUAUUUACAGGUGAAAUUUCAUGAUGUCUGGGUUUUGCUUUCAAAUAUUUUAGGAAAACAGAAAACCAAGAAAGAGAUAAUUGAGCAGGGUAUACAGUGGCCUAAAGCUAGAGAAUCCAAAUGGAAGGUUAAAACUGGAUUCUAGUACAAAUAGGUUAAAACUAGAUUUGACUAAACCUACCUCUCCAUCCAACUGAAUGUGAACCUGUUUUUGUUUGUUUUAUUUUUUCAUUUUUAUUUAUUUUUUGUUUUUGAGACAGAGUUUCGCUCUGUCGCCCAGGCUGGAGUGCAGUUUCGGCUCACUGCAACCUCCACCUCCCGGGUUCAAGCGAUUCUCCUGCCUCAGCUUCCCAAAGAGCUGGAACUACAGGCGUGUGCCACCAUGCCCAGCUAAUUUUUGUAUUUUUGGUAGAGACGGGGUUUCACCAGUUGGCCAGGAUGGUCUCCAUCUCUUGACCUCUUGAUCCGCCUGCCUCAGCCUCCCAAAGUGCUGGGAUUACAGGCGUGAGCCCCACCGCGCCCAGCCUGUUUUAUUUUUUAACCAGCUGAGUCCGGCAAGAAUUCCUUGCCAUUCUGCGAUAAUGUAAUGGCCUCUUGAGAGUCCUUUACAGAAACACAGUUUAGAUGUACAUAACAUACUAAGAAGGAAACCAUUUAACUUGACAAUACCACACCCAGAUAAUUCAGAUAACUAAUCGAAUUUUUCAUCGGAAUUAUUUGGUUUGGCCAAGUUAAUUAGGUAACAAAUACUUUUCUUUUCUUUUCUUUUUUUUUUUUUUUUUGAUACGUAGUCUUGCUCUGUCGCCCAGGCCGGAGCGCAGUG
rnacentral:lncRNA from 10 species